UAAACUAGCAAAACAUGGGUUGCAGUUAUCAGAUAUAAUUGGCCAUUUCAUUCAUUGUACCAUGGAUUUCUUGUUAUAUAGGUUGCAGCGAAUUGGGAAAUUUCUAGUUAAAUUUCUAGUUGGGAAAUUUCCAGUUAAAUCUUCACAUUGAAAUAAAAAGAGAGUUAGAGUGAUUCAUGAAAAAACCCAAUGUUACAAAUUAACAAUUCUAACCUCUCAUUCAUGGACACUUGUUUGUUGAAAUAAGACCAUUCGAUAUCUUCAACUUUCAGCCAUCCAAUAAAUAUCCUCAAAUCCAAUAGUCAGUUGAAUACAUAAGACCAUUCUAAUGAAUGAUUUUUCAGUACUAACAUUUCUGCAAAGACAAUCACAUUAUAGAACUGUUUUGUCUGGUGAAACUAUAUAAAUUUACAGAUAGAUUGGAUAAAUUAAAGAGAAACUAUACUCACAAGUCCUCUUAUAGGUGGAUUCUCAUUAAAUGAUUGUUGAGUGGAAUACGUGCAGUGAGCGUUUAUUCUUGCUUUUCAGGAUUUCUUAUUGCCUAAUGUAUAAUGAUCUUUUGUAUGAGGACAGGUCUCAGCAGAAACGAUGAUUGGUCUUAGUGAAAGCAGUAAAUGUGCACAAAUUUCCAAGCAAAACUUGGAAAGCUUAAAGAUCAUCUCAGACAACUGGAGGAUGAAUUUGUUAAGUCUCUAGCAGACCUGUAAAGCGGCCGGGCGUAUUGCUACUAGUGAAUCUCUUUCUGCUGCAAAAGCAAGAACUGAAGAACUUAAGAAAAUUGUGCAAGAUCAACCGUCCAGGAGGGAUGAAUAUUCAGCAAUCAUAUCUCAACAACUUAAGAAACUUGUUGAUGUAGGCUCAUUGUAUAAAAGGUGCAAGUAGUAGUAGUAGUAAGACUUCAGAGGCUAUUUUUGCUUUGAACUCUUCAUGUAGAUGGGCAUUAACUACCACACCCAUUCAAAAUUGUUUAAAAGAGCUCAAGACAUUGGUUAGUACACUUAAAGCUUUCAUUCCAUUGGAAAGCAAAAUUUGGUUUCUAGUCUGAUAUGUAAUUUUUUUAAAAUUUUUUUCAUACCAGAUUGAGUUCCUACGAAUAUUUCCUUUCUCAUGGACCUUCUGUAAGGAUUGUGAUUGCAUACUAUCUGAGAGGUAACAGAAGCAUCAGCCUAUCCAAGCUGUGCAUAUUCAUCAAUGGACUCGGAUUGGGGUUGGAAUUGGAAUUACAUUACUGUCAAGCAUAAUUCAAAAGCCUAUUUUACUUGUUAAGAAAUGAGAAGAUCAGUUCAUGUGCUUUAAGCUUUCAGAUCAAAGCGAAGCUGAGAAUAGGGUGUUAGUUGAUGGCAAAUUGAUAACCAGUAGAGGCACAUCCAUGGAGUUUUCGCUUGCGAUUGUUGAGAAGCUAUUUGGCUGCGAGAAGGUAUUGGAUCUUGCUGCCAAUGAAAACUUUAAAUAGACAUAUAACUAUUAUGUUGGCAUUGUACUUU